UGGAUCAAUGAUGACUACUGGUGGCGUAUGAGUCAUAUAUGAUGAACAGGUGUCUGGAACUCUAAGGUCCAA
rnacentral:snoRNA from 1 species